rnacentral:rRNA from 1 species
GACGAACCGAGCGAACGUUGUUCGGAAUCACUGGGCUUAAAGGGCGCGUAGGCGGGCCGCCGCGUCCGGGGUGAAAUCCUCCCGCUCAACGGGAGAACGGCCUCGGAUACGGGCGGCCUGGAGGGGGGUAGGGGCGUGCGGAACUGUGGGUGGAGCGGUGAAAUGCGUUGAUAUCCACAGGAACUCCGGUGGCGAAGGCGGCACGCUGGACGCCGCCUGACGCUGAGGCGCGAAAGCCAGGGGAGCGAACGGG